UAGAUUCGUGUCUCUAAAUUAAUUUAUUGUUGUCAAUGACCGCUUCAUUUAUGCAUGCUUUUGAUUCAAAUCUCUAUAUAUUAGAGUAACACAAAACCACCCAUUUCCGAAAAAAAGACCAAAACCUAAAGGAAAUACAUAACAAACAGAGAAACUCUAUUCUCAGAUUUUCACUUAGCCUCCAAUUUUUUCAUAUUAAAAACAUUCACUCAAUUUCCAUGCUUCUAAACCUAAAUACUACUGCAGUGUCUAUUAUAGCUGCAGUUUCUCUAUUGGUAUAUGUUUUCACAUAUAUUUUAUAUGUGCACAAAUUUUCAGUUCCCUUUAUUUAAAAACAUAACAGAGUAAGAAAACAAAAACAGAACCUGUUCUGUUUCAUUGCUCUUUUAUUAAGAAAAAAUGGGUACAAUCAAUUUACACAAACACAAAGCAGAGAAAUCCAACAAAGUUCAAAAACAUCGUCAUCUUAGAAUGAUUGCAAAAANNNNN
rnacentral:lncRNA from 1 species